rnacentral:lncRNA from 10 species
GACUUUGGACUCACGUAGGCAUAGGAGAACGAAACUUCUGUACAUUUUAAUCUGAAUAAUUCUUCAGGAUUUAAAAUUAAUUGGCUCUGGCUUGGUUGGACCGUACUCGGAUCUCGCCACCUCUGCGUUUCCCGAGUCACUGGCGAAGAGGUCCCAGUUCCUCUGGGAAUCGUCCUGUAUGCAACAUCUUCACAAGAGUGGCAGGCAGUUGAAUCUCUGGCCUUCGUGGGACCACUGGACAUCUGGCAGAGAACCAGGAAACCACGGUUCCCUUCUGUGAGUCCCUCAGCCGGAAAACUACAAGCUCCUCAUGCAGCUGCUGUCUACAGACCCCCUGGACUGCCUGGGGAAGUGAGUCGGAGCUCCUGCAGCAGAGGGGUGGAACAGCUACACGAAGAUCCGAAGGUGGCCAAAAAUAACAGCGCUUUCCAGAUGAGGGAGCCAGUUGUCCAGCACAGUGUCAUGGGACAGUGGGCCCUGGUGCCACAAUGCCCGGCAUCUCCACCAGAUACAGCUUUGAGAUCUUCAUGAUGAAGCUUGCUCCAAUCCAAGGGCUGUCAGAUCCAAAUCCUGUCUUCACUGGCUUCAAGAAUCCUGUCUUCACUGGCUUCAAAACUGGGAUGAAGGAGGCUCCUUAGUGGAGAGCAAAGCAAAGAGAAACUCAAAUUGGAUCCAUAUUAAAGAAGAGAAGGAUGGAUUUGUUUAGACAACACAAACCUAGGAAGGGUUUGAGAGGUGAAACAAACUGGGUUAUGGAUGAACGGGGGCAAUUGGAAUGUAGAAUUGAAGCAGUAAUUAACAUCUUGAAAGAAGAAAUACAGAUAACUAUUUUUCAAAAGUUAACUGACCUAAAUGAAGACCUAGACUGAAGGAAGUCCAGCUGCCUACUUUUAAAUAUAAAUUCACAAUGACCCAGAUUAAUAGACCUUUGAGCCAGAAAAAGGUUGAAAAUGGUGAAGGCAACUGAGAUACGGUAGGUGAAGAAUAGGGGCU